CUAAUUUGCUGGCCUGGACAAGAGGAAGAGGAUUCGGACUCUGAAUAUCCCCUAGCAACCAAAUGCUGCAUCUCUGGAUUCCUCCGUCAGUUCAUUGAAACUGCAUCACCUGCUGAGGUCAAGAACCUGCUAAAAUUCUGGACAGGUUGGGAGGUUUUACCCCGAGAGCUCACCUUUAAAAUUGUUAAAGGAAACCUUCCAACAGCUUCUACCUGCUUUGAGGUGCUCAAGAUCCCUGGACAUUACAAGGACUUUGAAUCUUUUCGGAUUGAUUUGCUGGCAUGCAUUUGUACACAUCACACAGGGUUUGGGCUCAUUUAGGUUAGAUAAUACUUUUCCUUCUUUAAGGAAUGUGGCAGUUUGCCUUCUGUGAAUGUUAAAACUACUGCUUUUUACAGCUAGAGCAUAAAGCACUGUUUUAAAAACAGCUGAAGAAGUGUUCGUUGUAGGUGCACUGUAUGUUCCCCAGUUAGCCUGUCCAAGUUCAAAGGGUCCAUUGUUAAAACUAAAAGAUAUAGAAUUUCUGAAAUGUAGAUUCAGUUUUAAAUGUUUCAUGUUCAGCUGGCUCAGUGUUUAAGCUCAGCAAAGGGACAAUUGUUGAAAGUAGCUGUUGGUGUAAGAUCUAUUUGCAAUCAGUUUUAAAUGUUUUACGUUAGCCCACUCUAUAGCUGGCAAAGUGUUUUAGCUCCUCAAAGGGACAAGGGAAAGUAGAUUGCUGUUAGUGUAAGAUGAAUUUGCAAGACUUCUGAAAUGUAAGUUCAGUUUUAAAUAUCUUGACAUUUUAGCACAGUUUUAAUAUUUUAUAAGCUGGUUCAUUUUUCCACGUACAUUGUUUUAUCUACUCUACAACUAGCAAUGGGCUUUGAAGUUUAUAUGUCCGAAGUUUGCUAAAAAGCCACUUAUGUUUAAUUACAUUUACAUGUAAUCCUUUUCAAUAAACCUGAAUGAACAUUCAUACGAGUGUGAAUUCGAUAUACCUUA